GGCUGCUCGUCGAAGCUUAUUGUUAUUAUUGUUUCUUGCAGAUUUUAUUCUCGCGGAAAUGAAUAAAAAUGAAUGAUCCACAUUUAUCUCAUAAAGCCACAAAAACGAGGCGACGGGGAGAUAAAAAUGCCUGCCCGAUCUGUCACUUUCUCGACUUAUGAACCUUACUUACUUCACUGAUAGGACUAACGCUAUGAUCCCAAUAAUAAAAAAAGAAAGAAAAAGAAAAGAGAGAGAAAGACUAUGGUUAUUAGCUGAAUCUGCGCCACUGAUAUGAGCUCAUCACCAGUUAUCAAUGAGAUGAGCCAUUGAUCUCCGUACCGCUACUGGCUUCCGAGCUUCAGUUUCUAUCAGGUUCGCUCCUACAAAUCUAGCCAAUAUCGCCAUCCAGUUCGCAUCCAAAUGUGAGAUAGGGUGUUUUACUUUUCGACUUCACUCUUUGGCCCUAGGCGCACAUACAUAGUGAACUCAAAAAAGUUAGUUACAUGCAUUUGCGAUAAACUGUAUGUGGCUCCGUACACCUGCACGGACGUGAUUACCAGACGGACCAGAUCUUGCCUAAUCCUCAAUAGGGAACGCAAAUAUAUCGAAAUCUUCUGUUGCUCCGUAUCGUGCAUUUUCUUCAAUAAAAAUUGGAGGAGUGUGUGAUUGACAACACAACAUCACUGGACUUUCCAUAGCGCUGACACUAAGAAUUUCUCAUUCCCAACUAGAUGAUUGAAACGCAUUGGCGUGGGCGGA
rnacentral:sRNA from 1 species